rnacentral:rRNA from 1 species
GACGAACCGUGCGAACGUUGUUCGGAAUCACUGGGCAUAAAGGGCGCGUAGGCGGGUCACCAAGUCCGUGGUGAAAGCCCCCGGCUCAACCGGGGAAGUGCUUCGGAUACUGGUGGUCUGGAGUGGGGUAGGGGCAUGCGGAACUUCCGGUGGAGCGGUGAAAUGCGUAGAGAUCGGAAAGAACACCAACGGCGAAAGCACUCUGCUGGGCCGACACUGACACUGAGAGACGAAAGCUAGGGGAGCGAAUGGG